rnacentral:lncRNA from 1 species
AAACACGCCCAUGUAUACAAAGGCCAGGUACAUCGCCACCAGCUAAUCGUGUGUCCAUAAAUUUUGCAGAAAUGGUUUUGAAAAAGCGUACAUCAAAGCAUCAGAGAAUCUCAGAGCAGUGUAAAAGAUAUCACACACCCACACCGACAUCAUAUUGCACGAUGGUAUUCGAGACGUGGCACAAGAACUUGAAAAUACUGCAAUCAGACAUUGAUGUCACGGGGCAAAAAUAUGCUCUGCUGCGGGCAUAACAAUAUGACAAUAGUUCAUCCGUUCGACAACAAAUUUUGGCAGAACUUCGACAGGUUCAGUACAUGAACAAUCUAAGUUGCCAACACAUGGCAUUUUAAGCUCAGAGAAGUAAGAAAUACGCAUGGCCAUUUCUAGUCCAUCUUUACUCCAACAAAACCUGCAGACAUAAAAGCCCAGAAAAGCAUAAGCAAAGGCAUCACAUGCUAUGUAUUGGGAGUUUUUAAAGGGGUUAAGCAUUGGAUUGGAUCAAGCUUUCAAACUUUGUGUUGGGAGCCACAUGCCCAAUUUUCUAAUCUAAACAGGAUAAGGUAUGUUUACAACCAUUCUAUUGUAUCAAAAAGGCAAUAAACAUUACCUAAACAUCAGUGCUUGGACAUUAAUAUAAAUGGUAAAAAUAAAAAUUGCUAAGUCUGAAGUGCUCAUAAUCGGCAUUCACUUUAUCAAAUACAGUGUGAAAUGACAGCACAAUUAAGAACUGAUGCAAAACAGCACUGAUGAGCUCCAAUGCAAAGAACCUGAUAUAAUCAAAUGGUGAUAGACAUCUCACUAAAUAGAAUAAUUGAUAGAGAACAACUGGAAAAACAUUAGUUGGAGCAAUUAUAUACUCCCUCUGUCCAUAGGAGUAACAAUUUUUAGCAUUCAAAAGUUUCAACAAAUGUAAACAUUUCUAGCAUAUGCCGCCAUCCCCAUUCCUUCACUGAAUUUUCCAGCAGUUUUAUCACACUUAUCAUUGAUGAGGAGCGUCGAGCGUGUCAUUUCCUUUCCUACUAGAAAUGCCUACAUUUGUGAACAGAGGAUGUAUUACUGAAAACUAAUGAAAUUAGGCCUUGUUUAGUUUCCAAAAUUUUUCAAGAUUCCCCAUCAUAUCGAAUCUUUAGACGCAUGCAUGAGACAUUAAAUAUAGAUAAAAAAUUAACUAAUCGCACAGUUUGCCUGUAAUUUGCGAGACGAAUCUUUUGAGCCUAGUUAGUCCAUGAUUGGACAAUAAUUGCCAAAUACAAUCGAAAGUGCUACACUAGCCAAAACCAAAAAAUUUUCAGAACUAAACAAGGCCUUAGAUAAUGUAUAUUUUUCGUGUACUCGGUAUCAUUGAGACAUGUAAACCCAAAAUAGCAAACAGCAGUUUAAAUUUGAAAUCUUCACGAAGUGAAUUACUCCCUCAGCCAGCUAUAACUCACCCAAAGCCAAUAUCAACAUAAGGAAACCAAACCACAAAAGCCAAAUUACCAUGAUUCACAGCUGGAUAGACACUGUUUGCUGCUGCACAGACUCAAUGUGCCUCCUAAUAAACAACGGAAACCACAAACUAUGAUGCGUUUAACCACUAAAACUCGUAGCCCAUGAUCUACAGCAAUGGCAAGUGCAGUCUAAGCAGACGAUCACAAACAACAACUUCAAUAUUAACCAUCCAAACUUAGAGAAUGUCAGACGUCUGAGAAUCUAACCUUAGAUGCUGCUAGGGUACAUGAACACUCUGACCUUGCGCCCCUGCACUCACCAGAAAAAAAACAUCAGUACAGUGCAUCAAUUGGGAAACUAACACAUCACACAGGGUACACUGACUGCGUCACUGACCAUGGACUCAGGCGGGAGGUUCGACUUGAACUUGGCGCGGACGACACCGGAGUUGCCGUGCGGGCGGGUGACCUUACCCCAGAUGCACCUGUA